GACGAACGCUGGCGGCGUGCCUAAUACAUGCAAGUCGAGCGAAGCGGCGGAUGGGUGAGUAACGCGUGGGUAACCUGCCCUUAAGUCUGGGAUACCAUGUGGAAACAGAUGCUAAUACCGGAUACUGACGGGUGGACUGGGGAUGCGGUAGCUAGUUGGUAAGGUAACGGCUGACCAGGGCGAUGAUGCGUAGCCGGGUUGAGAGACUGAUCGUCCAAACGGGGACUGAGACACGGCCCAAACGCCUACGGGAGGCAGCAGUAGGGAAUCUUCCACAAUGGACGAAAGUCUGAUGCACCCAUGCCGCGUGGAUGAAGAAGGCCUUCGGGUUGUAAAGUCCUUUCAGCGAGGCGGCGGUACUCGCAGAAGAAGCACCGGCUAACUCCGUGCCAGCAGCCGCGGUAAUUC
rnacentral:rRNA from 1 species